GGACCAAGGAGUCUAGCAUGUGCGCGAGUCAUUGGGACUAUCGAAUCCUAAAGGCGUAAUGAAAGUGAAGGCAGAGCCUGGCUCGGCCGAGGGAAGAUGGGUGACAUUUGUCGCCUCGCACUCCCGGGGCGUCUCGUUCUCAUUGCGAGAAGAGGCGCACCUAGAGCGUACACGCUGGGACCC
rnacentral:rRNA from 2 species